AUGCUUAGGAGAACAGUUCCCACAGCCGAAUCCGCCCAAUGCCUUCCUCAGAUGCCAGCCGGCACUUCAGUGUCAACCCUUCUCAGCAUCCCACCCACUUUGGGGGUCUCCAAAGAUUGGGGGCCUUGUUGUGGGGAGACAGGUGAGAGCUAUCUCCUGAACCCUCCCUAUGCCCUCCACACCCUUCUCUGGAUGGUAGGAUUGGGGNGGGGGGGGGGGGGGGGGGGGGGGGUGUUCACCUGGCUGAGGUCAGUGGUAGAGAAUCUGGCAGGCUCCCUCUCUCCGCCCUGGGGUCUGACCCCCACCCCUGCCAAAGAAAAAUGCCACCCCCGCCCCAAAAACAGAGCAGGCCACCAUAGGUCUCACUCAGAUGGGGCAGAACCAAGCAAAUGCCAGUGGGAGUUCCAUUUUUCGAAUAAACGAUCACAGAAGAAGCCCCAUCUCCCAAACACGCAAGCCUUCCCUCCUCCCUUCAGCAGCCUGACUCGGAAUUACUGGAACAGUUAUCAAAGCUCAAAGAGAAACGGGAUCUGUAGGCGCCGAGAUGCAGAUGAGGGUGGGAAUCAGGGGGUGGGGGGUGGCUGUCUCGGAAAUGCCCAAAAUGGGGUGGGAGAGGGCGGGCGAGAGGGAAGAGGAAGGGGUAGGCGUCCAUGGCUGCCUCGACAGGUCCAAAGUCUCCCAGAGAGCAGCCAGCUUCCAACUUGUUUACUUGACGGCGUGUUUUGAGGUUUCCAAACGGAAAGAGUUAAACCUCUCGGCUGGAUCGAGAGCAGUCUCUGUCACCUUUCCUCCCGGCUAAGCGCUGCCGCCGCCGCCACUGUCGCUGCCCGGCGCGGCUGCCAGGGAAUCGAACCUCGUCUACUUUAUUCCACUUGAGCGUGGCCAAACUGUUGCUAUUUAGUGGGGGGCCAAGAAUCCGAUUCACACCCUCGAAACGAGCCGCAGCGGGUGGGGGGCGGGGGCGGGAGCCGGGUCCCGCGUGCCCCGGCCGCUGGGGUCCUCUCGGGGGAGAGGCUCACACACGCGCGCGCGCGCGCGCACACAC
rnacentral:lncRNA from 1 species